GUCUCUGUGGUGCAAUCAGUUAGUGCUAUCAGCUAUUAACUGAAAGGUUGGAGGUUUGAACCCACUUAGGGACG
rnacentral:tRNA from 1 species